rnacentral:rRNA from 1 species
GAAGCUGACGGAGCACGCCGCGUGAGUGAUGAAGGUCUUCGGAUCGUAAAACUCUGUUAUUAGGGAAGAACAAACGUGUAAGUAACUGUGCACGUCUUGACGGUACCUAAUCAGAAAGCCACGGCUAACUACGUGCCAGCAGCCGCGGUAAUACGUAAGUGGCAAGCGUUAUCCGGAAUUAUUGGGCGUAAAGCGCGCGUAGGCGGUUUUUUAAGUCUGAUGUGAAAGCCCACGGCUCAACCGUGGAGGGUCAUUGGAAACUGGAAAACUUGAGUGCAGAAGAGGAAAGUGGAAUUCCAUGUGUAGCGGUGAAAUGCGCAGAGAUAUGGAGGAACACCAGUGGCGAAGGCGACUUUCUGGUCUGUAACUGACGCUGAUGUGCGAAAGCGUGGGGAUCAAACAGGAUUAAAUACCCUGGUAGUCCACGCCGUAAACGAUGAGUGCUAAGUGUUAGGGGGUUUCCGCCCCUUAGUGCUGCAGCUAACGCAUUAAGCACUCCGCCUGGGGAGUACGACCGCAAGGUUGAAACUCAAAUGAAUUUGACGGA